GAUGAACGCUAGCUACAGGCUUAAAACAUGCAAGUCGAGGGACCGGCGCACGGGGGAGUAACACGUAUCCAACCUUCCCUUUACUCGGGGAUAGCCUUUCGAAAGAAAGAUUAAUACCCGAUAUAAAGGAUGGGGAUGCGUUCCAUUAGGUUGUUGGUGAGGUAACGGCUCACCAAGCAUUCGAUGGAUAGGGGUGCUGAGAGGAAGGUCCCCCACAUUGGAACUGGGACACGGUCCAAAAGCCUACGGGAGGCAGCAGUGAGGAAUAUUGGUCAAUGGGGGCUAGCCUGAACCAGCCAAGUAGCGGGAAGGAUGAAGGAUUAUGGGUCGUAAACUUCUUUUAUAUAAGAAUAUGUAUUAUAUGAAUAAGGAUCGGCUAACUCCGUGCCAGCAGCCGCGUAAUUC
rnacentral:rRNA from 1 species